AAAUACUUGCGCCGGCCCCUAGGGGCUGUGCGCUACUAUUUACCCACCCUUUGCCUAUGUGUACCCUUAUCGCUUCCUCGGCAGGCUCGCCUGCCGGCAGGAACCACCCAAAACCCUUGCAUCUAUACAUGAAAACUUCUGAUACCAACCUAAAUUAUUACAACUUUUAACAAUGGAUCUCUUGGUUCU
rnacentral:misc_RNA from 1 species